rnacentral:rRNA from 1 species
GUAGGGAAUAUUGGGCAAUGGGCGCAAGCCUGACCCAGCCAUGCCGCGUGCAGGAUGACAGCCCUAUGGGUUGUAAACUGCUUUUAUCAGGGAAGAAACCCCCGCACUUGUGCGGGGCUGACGGUACCUGAAGAAUAAGCACCGGCUAACUCCGUGCCAGCAGCCGCGGUAAUACGGAGGGUGCAAGCGUUAUCCGGAUUUACUGGGUUUAAAGGGUGCGUAGGCGGGAUAGUCAGUCAGUGGUGAAAGCCUACAGCUUAACUGUAGAAUUGCCAUUGAUACUGCUAUUCUUGAGUAUAGUUGAGGUGGGCGGAAUGUGGCAUGUAGCGGUGAAAUGCAUAGAUAUGCCACAGAACACCGAUUGCGAAGGCAACUCACUAAACUAUUACUGACGCUGAGGCACGAAAGCGUGGGUAGCGAACAGG